rnacentral:rRNA from 1 species
GAGCACUGUUUCGGCUAGGGGGCCAUCCCGGCUUACCAACCCGAUGCAAACUGCGAAUACCGGAGAAUGUUAUCACGGGAGACACACGGCGGGUGCUAACGUCCGUCGUGAAGAGGGAAACAACCCAGACCGCCAGCUAAGGUCCCAAAGUCAUGGUUAAGUGGGAAACGAUGUGGGAAGGCCCAGACAGCCAGGAUGUUGGCUUAGAAGCAGCCAUCAUUUAAAGAAAGCGUAAUAGCUCACUGGUCGAGUCGGCCUGCGCGGAAGAUGUAACGGGGCUAAACCAUGCACCGAAGCUGCGGCAGCGACGCUGAUGCGUUGUUGGGUAGGGGAGCGUUCUGUAAGCCUGCGAAGGUGGCCUGUGAGGGUUGCUGGAGGUAUCAGAAGUGCGAAUGCUGACAUAAGUAACGAUAAAGCGGGUGAAAAGCCCGCUCGCCGGAAGACCAAGGGUUCCUGUCCAACGUUAAUCGGGGCAGGGUGAGUCGACCCCUAAGGCGAGGCCGAAAGGCGUAGUCGAUGGGAAACGGGUUAAUAUUCCCGUACUUGGUGUUACUGCGAAGGGGGGACGGAGAAGGCUAUGUUGGCCGGGCGACGGUUGUCCCGGUUUAAGCGUGUAGGUGUGUGUUCCAGGUAAAUCCGGUUCACUUUAACACUGAGGCGUGAUGACGAGGCACUACGGUGCUGAAGCAACAAAUGCCCUGCUUCCAGGAAAAGCCUCUAAGCAUCAGGUAACAUCAAAUCGUACCCCAAACCGACACAGGUGGUCAGGUAGAGAAUACCAAGGCGCUUGAGAGAACUCGGGUGAAGGAACUAGGCAAAAUGGUGCCGUAACUUCGGGAGAAGGCACGCUGACACGUAGGUGAAGUGAUUUACUCAUGGAGCUGAAGUCAGUCGAAGAUACCAGCUGGCUGCAACUGUUUAUUAAAAACACAGCACUGUGCAAACACGAAAGUGGACGUAUACGGUGUGACGCCUGCCCGGUGCCGGAAGGUUAAUUGAUGGGGUCAGCGCAAGCGAAGCUCCUGAUCGAAGCCCCGGUAAACGGCGGCCGUAACUAUAACGGUCCUAAGGUAGCGAAAUUCCUUGUCGGGUAAGUUCCGACCUGCACGAAUGGCGUAAUGAUGGCCAGGCUGUCUCCACCCGAGACUCAGUGAAAUUGAACUCGCUGUGAAGAUGCAGUGUACCCGCGGCAAGACGGAAAGACCCCGUGAACCUUUACUAUAGCUUGACACUGAACAUUGAGCCUUGAUGUGUAGGAUAGGUGGGAGGCUUUGAAGUGUGGACGCCAGUCUGCAUGGAGCCGGCCUUGAAAUACCACCCUUUAAUGUUUGAUGUUCUAACGUGGACCCGUGAUCCGGGUUGCGGACAGUGUCUGGUGGGUAGUUUGACUGGGGCGGUCUCCUCCUAAAGAGUAACGGAGGAGCACGAAGGUUGGCUAAUCCUGGUCGGA